CCGCCAAACACAUACAAGAUCUUCUCCCAGACAUUCUCAGAUUCUGUAAUUGCAAAUUCACGCCAACAAAAUCCAUGUUAAAAUCAGCGCCGUGGAGGUUAUAUCUCUUCGGACAUGGCGGAUGAACAGCCUUCAGCCGCUAAUCGGCGGAGGAGCUGAGGAUCUGAGGCUGCUGCUCACCUUGCGGCUCUGGAACGUCUCAAAGCCUUCUGCAGCGGUGGGCGUCGGUUGGAAGAUGGUGGUUUCCAUUUGAAGUUACAGAACCCCAUCCACGACACAAUUCCGGAAGAUGAGUAUGAUGCUCUCGUUGCAAAGCGUGGUGAAGAUGCCCUAGGGUUUAUUUUUGACGACGACGGUCUUGGAUUUGGAGACGAAGGUGAGGAAGCGGAUUGGCCGAAAUCUGGGGUUUGUUCCUCCGAUGAGUCCGACAGUGAGCUGAAGAACCCUAAGAAGAUGAAAGGGGCAAAUUGAAGCUAUACCGAUUUCAAGGACUUUUGCGCCUAAGGAAUUUGAUGCAAAGGAGGACUUGAUUUCUCAAAUCAACCUGGAUUCGGUUGGGGAAUCACACAGUUCUUCAAUCAAGGAAGAUGUAAUUGAAGAUGGUAUGCCAAUUAUGGUUGAAACGAAAGCAGAACCGUUCGUGAAGAAGGAGGGGAAGGGAGAGGAAUUGUUGAUUCUGCAGCAGAAAUUCCUGGUUUUCAACGAGUAAGAUUGCCUAAUCCUUCAUAAUUUAAGGAUAUUUAUACAUAUAAAACAACCUAAUACUUGCUGAUAUUCUUAUGAAGUUGAGCUGAUGCAAGUUUGAGGUGAUAGUUGAGUCUCCAAAAGAUGUUCAAAUUUCAUAUUCAUCAGGAAAAACUGUGGAGAUUCCUUCAAUGUUUGUCACUGCAAUACAAAUUAUGUCUGCAUCUGUUAUAUACUGUCAAGGAGAAGAUGUUAAUUGUGAACUUCUGUCAGUGUUGUUGAUUUUGUUUGCAUGUUUCUUCUGAUGUGACAAUCAUGUUCUGUUUUAGUGGAAAAUGGGUAUUGGGUUCACUAAUCAGCUUACAGGAUUGUUGACCAUUGAAGGGUAUUGCUUAUGAGGAUCAUGGUCUACUUGAUAGGAAUCAUACAACUUUAAGUAGAAUCGCUGAAUUUUCACAAUUUAUUUGCACAUGGAUGAAUCUAUCGAGUUUUAUGAAUGAAUGAGAUUUUGGAGGAACUGUAAGGAAUGCUCACAAGAUUUUGAAGUUUCUAUCUUCAAUACUCAAACUGAAGCUCAUGAUGCUCAAUUAGAAGAAUUGUUAGCAUAUUUUCUCUCCAAGUAAACAGAGAUUUCAAAAGCCUGGUAUGCCUACACAUUUUACUAUCAUCCCUAAGCUUGAUGGAGGCAUAUGAUAGAAAUUUGAAGGUUGGAUCAAAUGUUCUAAUCUGCGAGGAGCGAGUAGUGAAAGGGCCUUGUUCAAUCGAUUAAUGAUUGAAUUAUUCAAAUUGGAUAGUGAUAUCUCUGGGUUUGAUCUAGAUGUUCUUCUCCAUCGAUCCCAGGUAGAACUAUCAAGAAAUUACUAUGAACAAAGUAACAAAAGGAUUUUUUUUUUUUUUUUUUUGAGAAGGAAACAACACUUUUUAUUGACAUUGUCAAAGUAACAACCCUCUUUACAUGGUAACAAACUUUUCUGAAGUUAAUGUGUUCCAUUACGCA